AAGCGGAGGAAAAGAAACUAACAAGGAUUCCCUUAGUAACGGCGAGUGAACAGGGAAAAGCCCAGCACCGAAGCCUGUGGUCAUUUGGCCAUUAGGCAAUGUGGUGUUUAGGUCGUCUCGCUGGAGCACUGUGCCACCCUGAGUCCAUCAAUGAGUACGGCAUGUGACUUGGCCCAUAGAGGGUGAAAGGCCCAUGAGGGUGGUAUACAGCAUUGAUAGUGCUCCUCUGAGUAGACCUUGGAGUCGGGUUGUUUGUGAAUGCAGCCCAAAGUGGGUGGUAAACUCCAUCCAAGGCUAAAUACUAACACGAGUCCGAUAGCGAACAAGUACCGUGAGGGAAAGUUGAAAAGUACUUUGAAGAGAGAGUAAACAGUGCGUGAAGCCGCUCAGAGGUAAACAGGUGGAGUUGAACUGCAAGCUUUGAGAAUUUAAUUGGUGAGCAUUGUUAUGCUUGGAUUGCUGGUUGAUCUUUGGAGUCUGCUUAGCUGCAGGCCCUGCCUCGGUAGGGUGCGAGAAAUCACUUGCCAAGUGUUGUGCGCUCCAGAGGUAUUCGAGCCUGUUCGCCAGUGCACUUUCUCAGAGUGGUCACCACGACCGGAGGUCUUUGUCUUUCUGCUGUGGUCGAACCGGAUGUGUAUCGUCCUUGUGRCUUUAUGCGUUCGGGAUGGCAGGUAGCCUGUGUCUGCUCGCGGAUACGGGUGUAAUCAGCUGACUGCGGUUUGAUUGUGCAUUGCUCCGGAGACGGCGGCUUAUGGUGCAUACAUGCGUGCCUGUCUGGUUGGCUUGUGCGGCUUUGGUUGGCGUGUUGCUCGUAAAAACGGGCCUGCUGAUGGGCUGCGCUUGUCUGACUGGCGGUUGCGUGUGGAGCACGUCUAAGAGCCUAUAGUCUGUGGUGUAGUGGUAGACUUUCCACCUGA
rnacentral:rRNA from 1 species